rnacentral:rRNA from 1 species
GACGAACGCUGGCGGCGUGCUUAACACAUGCAAGUCGAACGGAAAGGCCCUGCUUUUGUGGGGUGCUCGAGUGGCGAACGGGCGAGUAACACGUGAGUAACCUGCCCUUGACUUUGGGAUAACUUCAGGAAACUGGGGCUAAUACCGGAUAGGAGCUCCUGCUGCAUGGUGGGGGUUGGAAAGUUUCGGCGGUUGGGGAUGAACUCGCGGCUUAUCAGCUUGUUGGUGGGGUAGUGGCUUACCAAGGCUUUGACGGGUAGCCGGCCUGAGAGGGUGACCGGCCACAUUGGGACUGAGAUACGGCCCAGACUCCUACGGGAGGCAGCAGUGGGGAAUAUUGCACAAUGGGCGGAAGCCUGAUGCAGCAACGCCGCGUGCGGGAUGAAGGCCUUCGGGUUGUAAACCGCUUUCGCCUGUGACGAAGCGUGAGUGACGGUAAUGGGUAAAGAAGCACCGGCUAACUACGUG